rnacentral:rRNA from 1 species
UGCCCUACGGGGCGCAGCAGUGGGGAAUAUUGCACAAUGGGGGAAACCCUGAUGCAGCAACGCCGCGUGAGUGAGGAAGUAUUUCGGUAUGUAAAGCUCUAUCAGCAGGGAAUAGAAAAGAAGGUACCUGAAAAAGAAGCCCCGGCUAACUACGUGCCAGCAGCCGCGGUAAUACGUAGGGGGCAAGCGUUAUCCGGAUUUACUGGGUGUAAAGGGAGCGUAGACGGCAGUGCAAGUCUGGAGUGAAAGGCGGGGGCUCAACCCCCGGACUGCUCUGGAAACUGUACGGCUGGAGUGCAGGAGAG